rnacentral:lncRNA from 1 species
CCAACAUACCGAACUCGCACUCAAACUCAAACCUAAGCCAUGUAUACAAUCUCAAACAAUAGAGAUUGGAUGCUCAAAGAGCUUAUUAACAAAGAUAGAAAUAACUUUAGAAAGCUUUAUUUAGUACAAUAAAAGUAAAAAAAGAGAUGAAUUUAAAGUUGUCACCAAGGAAUAAAAUAGAUCGAUUGAUUCAUAAAACAAGUUUGAAAGAAGCUGCUUGUAGCA